rnacentral:rRNA from 1 species
GGGUGCGAUCAUACCAGCGUUAAUGCACUGGAUCCUAUCAGAACUCCGCAGUUAAGCGUGCUUGGGCUAGAGUAGUACUGGGAUGGGUGACCUCUCGGGAAGUCCUAGUGUUGCACCCU